CAGGCCUUCCCUUUCCAGACCUUUUUCAGAUCUAGAAAAGAUUAAGUAAGAGUCUGAAAACUUUCAAGUUCCCAAAAGACACAUUUACCAUCUAUUCUCUGUAAGGACUGCAACUCCUGAGGCUUCAUCUACAUAACAGAAACCUUGGUCAUCACAACACCCCCAAUCUUAACUUGAGCAUUUCUGCCUACUAACUUCAAGUCUUUAGACAAAGACUUCCAGUCUAAAGAUAAAGCUUAACUCUUACAACAAAUUCCAAAUCAGAAAUUAUUAUUAUUAUUAUUAUUUUGAGAUGGCGCCACUCUGUCGCCCAGACUGGAGUGCAGUGGCACAAUCUUGGCUCACUGUAACCUCCACCUCCUGGAUUUAAGCAAUUAUCCUGCCCCAGCCUCCAGAGUAGCUGGGAUUGUGCCACCAUGAUCGGCUAAUUUUUGUAUUUUUUUUUUUUUUAGUAGAGACAGGGUUUCACCAUGUUGGCCCGGCUGACCUCGAACUCCUGACCUCAGGUGAUCUGCCCACCUUGGCUUCUCAAAGUGCUGGUAUUACAAAUGUAAGCCACCAUGCCCAGCCCAGAAAAUCUUUGAAUCCACCUCAGGAUACCUGUAGGCCUCAGGAUCUCUUGAGACUGUUCCCCAGGCCAUGGUCACUCAUAUUAGCUUGGAAUAAACCUCUUUAAAUAUUUCACAGUGUUUGUUUUUUCUGAUAACAAAUCAGUAGCUAAGGUAGGAAUUCUUCAGAUGGAUUUGAAAGCAUGUUUUUUAUUCAGAAUCAAUUUGAACUUUUAUUUUUAUGGACUGCUAUAUUUUCUUUUUUUGCUAUAUUUUUGCUAUUUAUUUGCUACCCUUCUUCUUCUUGUUACUUUUUGAGACAGGGUUUUGCUUUAUGGCCCAGGCAGGUGCACAGUGGCUCAAUCAGGGCUCACUGCAGCCUUGACCUCCCGGACUCAAGCAAUCCUCCUACCUCAGCCUCCCAAGUAGCUGGGACCACAGACACAUAUCAAUAUGCCUGGCUAAUUUUUUAAUUUUGUAGAGACAGGGUCUCGCCAUUUUGCCCAGGCUUGUCUUGAACUCCUGGAAUCAAGUAAUGCUCCUGCCUUGGCCUCCCAAAGUUCGGGGAUUACAGGCAUGAGCCAUUGUGCCCAGACUAUUUGCUAUUAUUUUAAUUUUGCUUCAUGUUCAUCUAUUUUCAUAGAUGUUGGAAGGGAGUGUUGUCUGAGAAACCACAUCUCAUCUGAAUUACUCACCUUUCUAUCCUUUUACAUUGGUAUAACCUCAGGAGCCCUUCCUUGCUUUUGGUAGACCUGCAAGAACAAACCCAUUGAGAUGGCUACAGAAUGAGAAGGGAAGCUUUUUCAUGGUGUAAGAAGUAAGAAAAAUUGAUUAGGAAGAACUCUGUGGGUAAGGAGAAAGAAAACCUACUAGGAGACCAUUAUUGCAGUGAAGGUAAGAAAUAAUGAAGAAAUUCUGAAUUAAGUUGGUAACUAUGUGAUAGGAAGGCAAGAUAGACUUAAGAGUUGUUAAGACAGUGGAAUUGACAGAAUGCAGGGGAUAAUUGGAUGUGCACAGAAAAGGAAGUAGGAGUUGAGAAAGACUUUUCAAUUCUACCAGCCCAGCUAAGGAAUAUAGAAUGGAAGAGGUGGGGAGAAAAUAAGUUUAGUGUGGGUUGUAUUGACAGGGAGAGAUAUCUCACAUUCAGAGAGGCAUGUGGGAGAAAAGGCAUGGUCACUGAUGAAAGGAAUCAGUAGCUCUGGAUCUGGUAGUUGAAGUCUUGAAAGUCAGAAGCAUCAUUUAUAAAAAAUGUAUAGAGAGAUUAAAAAAAGAAAGCUGAAGAUGAAUGGAUGGAUGGAUGGAUGGAUGGAUGGAUGGAUGGAUGGAUAGAUGGAUGGAUGGAUGCAUGGAUGGAUGCAUGGAUGGAAGGAUAAUACCGAUUGGAUGGGAACACAGAUGUGGGGAAAUGAGAAAGAACCAUCUGAGUCUCUGUGGAAUCGGAAGAGGAUUAUUUCUCAGAAGCUGAGGAAAAAGAGAGUUUUAAGGAAGAACGUAACAACAGUGUCAAAGGUGACAGAGAGACCAGACAACUGAAAUUCAAAAAAUGCUCAAUAUGUUCAACAAUUUUAGGUAAUUGUGACUUAAAAAGUUUCAGGAAAAUGAUGGAACAAAAAUGCAAACAAUGGGCUGAAAAAUGCCUGGCAAGUGGAAUAGCCUACAACUUCCAUCUGAGCUAGCUAACUAUAGGGGAGGCAGACCUCAAUGAAACUUUUAUUUUUGGAGUGAUAGUAGAGAUAUAUGGAUAGGAGGGUUUUGAUUAGAUGGAAAAUUAAUUGUGAAAAUGGUUUAGUGAGUCCUAAGCAGGUGCACUUGCUGAAAGGAAAAAGAAAGAGAAAUAUUGAAGACAAUGCCCAGGAGAACAGAAGAAGUUAAGAGAGAGAGAGAUGUCUAUAUACCACGUGCCUCAGCCCACAGUGAAAAAUCCAGGAGCAUAGAACAAGGCUCUCUGGAAACUUAAGGGAAUCAUAAUAUGCCUGAGAAAACAUAAACAAAAAUUAUCUUAAUGACAAAUAAGUGCUUCGGAAAUAAACAAAGGCCAAAAUCUGUUAGAGAUGGUAGGUAGACAGCUCUCAUAUUUCCGUGGAUUGCAUCCUCAUGAAGGAUUUUCAACUUGUCUUUCAUUUUGAAAUUGAAUAAAUAUUGGAAUGCAUUAUCAUCCACCCUCCCUACAUUCAUCUAUAAAAGGAGACAUGACAGAUGUAAAGUUCCUAUCAAUAUGUGAACAGCAGAGGGAAAAAUGAGGCUGCACCCUGAAUUGAAGUGAUCCUAUCUCUUUAAGCCUCUUUCACACUGGAGAGCUACAGGAAGCCUGAGUUUGAAAUCAUUUGGUCCAGACAGAAGAGGAGAAGCAAGGACCGAGUGUCAUGAAGAGGGAAACAUUGCCAGACUGUCAGAGGUUACCUAAUAUCCUUUGAUGGGUUUCCUCCUGUUUCCCUGAAUCUGGGAUGACUGUCCCCUUGAACUGCUCCGGUAUCUUAGCCAAUGGACAAUGUAUUGUUACUCCCCUCCUUAUCUAUUCGUGGUUUUUGCACACAUACCAUGAACUCAUAAGUGUUGAAGGAUCUCGACGUGUAAAAAUAUUUGUAAGAACAAGUUCAGUGACUAGAAAUUUGCUAGCUGGUUUGAAAUAAAGAGAUACACAUAAAACUAUAUUAUGAACUGGGAUCACCCAAAUUAUCUUCUGCAGGACAUUAUUCUACUAGAAAAUAUGGACAAAAUCAUAAGGACAAUUGUCAGUUUGAUGCUGACAAAAUUUUGUAAAAUUCCUUAUAUUAAAACCACUCUUCACUAUUAGCAGGAGACUACACAUGUUCUAAUGGUCUGAGAAAUACUGC
rnacentral:lncRNA from 10 species